rnacentral:rRNA from 1 species
UGGGGAGCAAACAGGAUUAGAUACCCUGGUAGUCCACGCCGUAAACGAUGUCGACUUGGAGGUUGUGCCCUUGAGGCGUGGCUUCCGGAGCUAACGCGUUAAGUCGACCGCCUGGGGAGUACGGCCGCAAGGUUAAAACUCAAAUGAAUUGACGGGGGCCCGCACAAGCGGUGGAGCAUGUGGUUUAAUUCGAUGCAACGCGAAGAACCUUACCUGGUCUUGACAUCCACGGAAGUUUCCAGAGAUGGGAAUGUGCCUUCGGGAACCGUGAGACAGGUGCUGCAUGGCUGUCGUCAGCUCGUGUUGUGAAAUGUUGGGUUAAGUCCCGCAACGAGCGCAACCCUUAUCCUUUGUUGCCAGCGGUCCGGCCGGGAACUCAAAGGAGACUGCCAGUGAUAAACUGGAGGAAGGUGGGGAUGACGUCAAGUCAUCAUGGCCCUUACGACCAGGGCUACACACGUGCUACAAUGGCGCAUACAAAGAGAAGCGACCUCGCGAGAGCAAGCGGACCUCAUAAAGUGCGUCGUAGUCCGGAUUGGAGUCUGCAACUCGACUCCAUGAAGUCGGAAUCGCUAGUAAUCGUGGAUCAGAAUGCCACGGUGAAUACGUUCCCGGGCCUUGUACACACCGCCCGUCACACCAUGGGAGUGGGUUGCAAAAGAAGUAGGUAGCUUAACC